ACAUGAAUCACCUGGGGAACUUGUUAAAAUGUAGAUUCUGAUUCAAGAUAUCUGGGGUGGAGCCUGAGAUUCAUCAUUUCUAACAAGUUCUUGGAUGAUGCCAUA
rnacentral:pre_miRNA from 1 species